CCAGAAACAAGUAUACUUCAUCUCCAAACUGAAGUUCUUUGAAAAGUAAGUUCUGCUUAUUUUCAGUGGCAUUGCUCUGGCUUUGACAUUUUCAUCUGGACUCUUCACAGGCUGUGAUGCCUGAAAAGCAGGGCUUAGGUCACCUAUUUCUGUUUUCAGUGAGGAAUAGAUAUGUAUGCUUUGGAGCAGCUUAAGGAGAAAUAUUAAUUUCAUUGAGCAGAGAUUUUAAAGGAACUAUGGUCCAGAAAUGGAGGUUUCACCAAGAAACGGCCCUUCAGCAGAACAAAAUGCUUUAAGCAUCAUCAUAUUCUAAGUUCUCCUCAAGGAUGCAGCUUCUAUUUCCCCAGCAACAGCUCAGCCAGCCCAACAACCGGGUAUUUUAUGGCAGGAUAUUUGGCCUCAUUAGAAGAGACUCUAAUGAUACUCUGCUGACUCACUAAAGUAUUGCAAAGCAAAGGUUUUUACUAACUACUUAUUACUAUUGCACUAAUAUGAUACACAAUGUUACUUGCUAAAAGGAAUGUUAAAAUUGUUUCUGGUUAUCUGACACUCACUUUUUCACUGCUUGCUGUAGUACUGUACCAAAUAAUUGUUCACUAUUAAAUAGCAGAGCGUGUAUCAGAAGUGAGUCUGGGUUCACUAAAGGUGAUUAUAAUCCUAACCUCACUGUCCUGGAAGAGUUCUUGCCUGCAGGAGGAGAUGCAGACGCUGUCAGUAGCCCACAGACACUUAAUAUUAAACCUUGUACUACAGGCAGUGGAAUUGGCUAAAAACAAGUGAUUUUUUUUUUUAAGGGGAGGGGAAUUGAUGACAAGCUUUAUGGCUGGCAUAUAGCUGAAUUUGGCACUCUUGCACAUUGCCGCAAGAUUCAGCUUUGUUUGUAUCGAGGUGUGGAUAAACAGGUGAUGAACAACAGCUGCUGAUUGCUAUGGGUUUGAGGUUUGAGAAGUGUGACAUUAGAAUUCAGAGCAAUCUUUGAUAUGUCACAGGUGCUUACCCACCAUUUCUUAACUUCUGAAGUCUAUAUCCUUUUAUAUCCUUUUUGCUUUCUUUCAAGUAGAAGUCAAUCAAACCCAUUUUCAUGCUGGAUUUAAUUUCUAUGAUUAUUUUCUAUGCUAAGUCAAACAGACAGUAAGGACAGCUAAUUUGUAGUUGGUUGAAAUGCACUUACCUGGCAUGUAGAGUGGGGCAAGGACAUGCUCACUUAGCAUGUGUUCAUCACCUUUGAGCACUGUGAGGCACAUUUGAAAGUAGAAGGGUUUAGAGGUGUUUGGUUUUUUUUCGUUUUUUUUUUUUCUGGUGCCUGAGCCUGGAUGUAAUAUAAUGUUGCUAAGUGAGCCCUGAUGCACCUCUCUUCACUGAGGCUUGUCCCCUUCAAGGAGAUCUGCUCCAGAAAAGGAGGCAGAAGACAGAAAAUGCUUCAUGCCUUCUACUUACAUUUGAAAAAGGGUUUGCUAGGUAUCAUGUAGCCAACUUCCUUCCCACUUACUUUAUCUGCACUGAAACUGAGCAGCCUCUAGGGAAGUAUUCAGUUAUAUCUGUGUAUGGCAGUGUUCCCUAGCACCACAGCAGAUGUCUGCAUGUGUGUUAAAGAUGAGAGAGGAUGAUCUCCAGCUCUGAAAUACAAGGCCGCACAAGAGAGAAAAGUAAGACAAAAACAAAUGGCCAGAGAACAAGGAUUAGUGCAGGAGAGAGCCCAGAACCUAUGACCAGCUGUCAUUGUCAGAGAAACGCAUUGAGGAGACGAUGCAGCCUGACACCCAGUAGAUCAUGAUGUUGGUGAGAAGAUCAUCCAGGUUAAACUUCCUGAACAGUAUCAGGUGUUGUAGCCUGUAUGUGAGCAUAGCCAGACUCCGCCAAGAUCCUGUAGAGCCCUUUUUUCAAG